UAUAAAGAAAAAGUUAUGCGGAUGCGGGCAUUAUAAUCCCCAAUCCGAAUCCGAAUUAUAACCCGACCCGAGGAAGCGCUAUUUUUCCGUUCCCGUCGCCAUGGUUUCAGAGGAGGUCGCUUCAAAGCUCGUCCGGUUCCUCUACUUCGUCGGUGCCGGCGUGAUCUGCACCAAAGGAAUCAAUCUAUGGCGGGACUAUGAACACAAGGCCGCCAUGAAAGCCUCUGCUGAAGCGCAUGAAACGCCUGUUGAAUUGGUGAAUGGGGCUGUGCCCAAAUCUUGAUCCCUGGUUAGGGUUUACUUUUCUCUCCUGUAUUUAAAAAACAAAAGGAAAAAAAAAA